UACAAAUCCCAGAGGCAUCUGGAAGCAGGAAGAGGAAGUGAUGAGCCUAGAGUCCUGAACUACAAAUCCCACUUUUCUUUAUAAAAGUGAGAAUACCCGUUUUGGCUGUGGUGUUCCUGCCUGAGUACGUAUAUCGGCACUAUGUUGAACCGAUGGUGAAUGCGCUCUUUCCCUGGGACUUCUGUUCCCUUUUUCCUUUCCAGACAAGUUCUUAGGCUCCCUAAGAGUUAGUGGCAGGAAAUGCUUUUUACUAACAUCAAAGGACUCAAAAGCUCUUAGGUCCAGACUUUUUUGGAGGAAACUAAAAGUCCCCAUCACUCUCACAACACUUUCUGUUUCCUCUUGUGAGUGUAAAUGGCAGGUUUUAAUCACAUAAUGUGCCAAAAAUGCUCUUUUUGCUAUUUCCCUGUCAGCCUGGACAUGUAAGUGCUGGUGUCUGCGCAUGUGCAGCCGGCUGCGCCCUGCCCAGGAACCUGCUCUUCCUUUCACUUUCCAAGUUAACAACUGCUGCAAGAUGAAAAGACAUAUAGAAGUUUGAAAUUUAAAAACUGGACAGAAAAGCUACAAUGAAACCCUGUAGCUCUUUUACUGCAGGAAUUAGGUGUGGAGCUUGCUAUGUAACAUCCUGAAGAAGUUUUUCCAACUUUCUUGAUAAAUUUGGAGACAUCUUUUGGAGGACAGAAGGCAUCUUUCAGUUUCUUGACAAAAGCAAAGACUUGUUUUGGAGGCAGAACACAGCACAAAACUUCUCAGCUGGAUCAGCCAGAAAUUUCUAAUCCCCAUUAUUCCAGAGAAAAGCCUGGACAAGGUUGGGAAAUACUGACAUAGAUGUCACCAUGUGCAGCUUAUGCAUCAAGGAAUUGAAUUUCCACUGUACUGAAGUGCCAAAAAUCCUGUUCUGAUGUUUAAAGAACAGCCACUUCAAUGAUGAGGAAGAAAAGAAUCCCACUUGGUUCUUGUGACAAACAAAUGAGGCUCGUUGUCCAUGAUUUGGUAAUGCCCUCUAACACCUUGUCACCCGAGUGCUAUUUGUAGCCUAGCUGAGGCCAUACAGGCUGUGGACGACCAGGGUAGCAGAACAGAAUUACUCCAGGGUACAAGCUACUGCACUGCUCCGAGAUGAUACCAUGUAGCUUUACUCUGUAUGGCUAUACAAUUUACCCAUAUCCAGAGUAAACAUGUAUUGGAUUUAAAUAAUUAUAAUUGUGAUUGUAUAAUGGAAAAAGUGAAGUAGAAUUGCAUUUAGAUUCAUACUCAUAAAAGAGAAACUUAUAUGCCAUUUACUUGUCUAUGCGGCAAAACAGGAUUUUGCCCUACGUACUGUUGUUUUGUAACUCCUAUAAAACACUGAAAUGUCAUUUUAAGUCACCUUGAGAACAAUAUUAAAAGAGAUUGCCAAGGGCAUGUCUGUGGAAGUGGGGGAGCCUUAACUUUCCCAGCUUCCAGAGUCACACCCCAGAGAUCCUGGAAGCAGGGAAGACAUGCAGACACUCCUGAGGCUGAGGGGCCUGAUCCUGUGUGGAAAACCUGGGGGCACAAAAGGGUGAGGUCCCAAACUCAGAGACCUUCUGCCUGAGGUGGCUGGAGAGUGCAGGAAGCUCCAGGCUGCCUGUGCUCUCCUGCCAGAAAGAAAAUGGGCAUCCACCACAAUAAAGCAGCAAAAAUUACUGCUACCUGUUGUAGAAAACGCAUUGUAGUGUGACAAAGAGUGUCGAUUUGCUUUUGCUUUGUGCCACCAUAAAAAGGUUUAUGGCAUCACAAAGGCAACAAAAGCUGAUGUUUGCAUUGCUGUGGAAGAUUGAAUAGACACCUAGCAGAAGCCUGUGACCAGUUUUACAUAGCAGUGGAAAGACUUCUCAAAACAUAUAUGUCUUAAGCCAAGUCAAAUGGGUUUCCGUUUUGAUUGACUGAAAGUUAAAACACUCAGUUUAGGUCUUCUGUUCAGAGGGAGUAAUUUCAGAAUAGCCAUUCCCAAUUAACUCUACAUGUCAAAACACUUAUUCCGAAGUAAGAAUAUCCACAGAGGAAAUUAUCAGGACCACUCUUAAUUUAUACUCUUAUUCUAUAUUAAUUUCCACUCAUUCCAUUUUGUCAAAACCACAGCUUGUCUUUCCAUGGCCAAGCUCAGUAACCAAAUAUCUCAGCAGCUUUUUCUGAUGAGUCUUUGUUUUCCAUCAGUUAUCCCACCAGGCUGUCUAAUACUAGGACCUGGGAUAAUUGCAUCAUUCUGCAGUACUAAUCGACACACCCCACUUUUGCCACAGCCAUUUUCGCAGUACUCUGAAGAUCUUGAGGAGAACAAAUCUCAUGUUGCCUUGAACAGAUAUAUUGUCAUUUAACUAUCUGGACCCCAUGUUUUCUUUUUUAACAGCGCACAGUAUUAUGAUUCUAGAUCUCAUUCAUUUAAUAUGACCUAAAAUGUAAUAAAAACUCUUUAUCAUCA